CUUGGAUGUGUUCUGCUGCAAGAUGAGACAUCACAAUCAUUCUCUUGGGCCUUACAGUCUUUUGUUGGAUUCAUGAGAGGGAGGCAGCCUCAGACGAUCGUGACUGAUAUAGAUUCAGGGCUAAGAGAUGCUAUAGCAAGCGAGAUGCCUACCACUAAGCAUGUUAUAUGUAUAUGAGGACUUUGAGCAUCAAUGGAAUCAACUGGUUGCUCGG
rnacentral:misc_RNA from 1 species